UACGAAGGGGGCUAGCGUUGCUCGGAAUCACUGGGCGUAAAGCGCACGUAGGCGGAUUGCUAAGUCAGGGGUGAAAUCCUGGAGCUCAACUCCAGAACUGCCUUUGAUACUGGCGACCUUGAGUCCGGGAGAGGUGAGUGGAACUGCGAGUGUAGAGGUGAAAUUCGUAGAUAUUCGCAAGAACACCAGUGGCGAAGGCGGCUCACUGGCCCGGUACUGACGUUGAGGUGCGAAAGCGUGGGGAGCAAACAGG
rnacentral:rRNA from 1 species